rnacentral:sRNA from 1 species
GGCAUCGUCUCAAGCCAACUGCAAUAACAGCACGAAGUACAGUACAUUUGGCUAUUUGGACAAGAGCUUGCUGAGCUCUGAACUGUACACUUUUCCCACAUUUCUCCGAAGCAUUCAUUGCAUGGUGUGAGGAAGCCCAAUACAGAAAAUCUCCUCUGAGAACACGUUUGAAAAGAGGAAUUCUCAUUGUUGUUACUAUUGGAGGUUUUUCUUUUUACUGGCCUAUUGUCGUAAGUUAAAUUCAAUGCUAAAAGCUGCUUUUAUUUUCAAGUUAAGGUGGAGUGCUUCAAUCCAUGACAUGGCUCCCAGUUUGGCGGAGCUCUAGAUAAGAAGUACUCAAGUGACUAUCAAGAGCGAGUAAUACAUCGAAUAAUCCAAGUCAAUUAUGCCUAUCAUCCAAUAUUACUCGAGCGUAGAUAUCUUGCAGAGCUCCGCUCCUGAUCAGAUAGACCCGGACCCGAUUCCUCCAGGGCAUGCUUAUAUCUCUCUUCAAGCCCAGUAUCGUCUCUCUGGUCAACUUCAUUUUCACCAGGUUUCACGUCCUCGUACUCAUCCGAAUCUUCGUCAUCUUCCGCUUCGGACACAGUCUCCGGCUCCCGACUUUGCUUCUGCCCACCGCGGGUCCCAGAACUAGAAACAUUCAUAUCCCUAAGCAAUUUCCCCAGCUCGGCCUCCCUUCUCUCCUCCUUCGCCACCUCUUUCUCUCUCCUCCUUCUCUCCAAUUCAGGCUUAUAAUCCCGCUCGAAUUCCUGCCGCUUUUCCUCCACCGCUUCAAAGAACCCAUCGAUCCCAUCACCAGUCAUAGCACUUACCCCAACCACAUUGAGAUGUCGAUAAAAUUCCUCCAGCAUCAGACUCAUACUAUUCAAAAAUGAGCCCAUAUAGCCACUUCCCCCUCCCAUGCCUCCCACCCCUCCU